CUUUUACCAUAAUCUUUUAUUGGAGCUAACCCAGCUUUAAGAGAAGAGAACAGCUACAGGAGUGUAACAGAACAGAGGACCACACUGGUCAAAGUGCUUGGUCUGGUUUUGAUUUGCCAAGGUUACAUUAAAGGAAAACUUUUUUUUUUUUCUUCUUUUCAUAGUUUCUGUUACUCUUCCUAUUGGUGACAGCAUAUUACUUAGCACUGUCAUAGCUGGUUUUUGAAGGUAUGAUGACAGCAGGUUGCCUUCUUUGUUGUGUCUUUUAACAUGUAAACAGAUUAGCCAAAAUAAGCAUUCUUGGAUAACUCUGAUAACUUUUAUUUUUUCUUCUGUUGAUCAAUAAGCAUUGUCCCUGUUAAAUAAUCUAAAGAAAAGUAGAGUCCAGUAGGGCAUGAAACAAGUAUCGAUACCCACAUUUCCCAAAUCCCUAAUUUAGCCAAAUGAUCUAUGUCAUACAAUAUGGAAUUGAAAGAGUACGUUGAAGGUGAACCAAUCUGCCACCCCUGAGUUGAAGGUAACUACAACUAUUUAGUUAGUCUCAUUUAUGGUUAACCAAGACAGAGGAUUGGUAGGAGACAGGUCUGUA